UUGCCAUCAGGUAAUGCUGGGGACUCUAAGGAUACUGGCCCGGUUAACGGGAGGAAGGUGGGGAUGACGUCAAGUCAGUAUGUCCCUUACGUCCAGGGCUACACACGUGUUACAAUGGCCGGUACAAUGAGUUGCGACCCUGCAAAGGUAAGCCAAUACUCAAAAAACCGGUCUCAGUUCGGAUUGCAGUCUGCAACUCGACUGCAUGAAGUUGGAAUCGCUAGUAAUCGUAGAUCAGCACGCUACGGUGAAUACGUUCCCGGGCCUU
rnacentral:rRNA from 1 species